AUUGAACGCUGGCGGCAUGCUUUACACAUGCAAGUCGAACGGUAACAGGCCUUCGGGUGCUGACGAGUGGCGCACGGGUGCGUAAUGCAUCGGAACGUACCCAGAGGUGGGGGAUAACGCAGCGAAAGCUGUGCUAAUACCGCAUGUGAUCUGAGGAUGAAAGCGGGGGACCGAGCAGCAAUGUUUGGCCUCGCGCCUUUGGAGCGGCCGAUGUCGGAUUAGCUAGUUGGUGGGGUAAAGGCCUACCAAGGCGACGAUCCGUAGCUGGUCUGAGAGGACGACCAGCCACACUGGGACUGAGACACGGCCCAGACUCCUACGGGAGGCAGCAGUGGGGAAUUUUGGACAAUGGGCGCAAGCCUGAUCCAGCAAUGCCGCGUGCGGGAAGAAGGCCUUCGGGUUGUAAACCGCUUUUGGCAGGAACGAAACGGUGUCCGCUAAUACCGGGCGCUAAUGACGGUACCUGCAGAAUAAGCACCGGCUAACUACGU
rnacentral:rRNA from 1 species